rnacentral:rRNA from 1 species
AACAUAGCUGCUUGGACCAUGGGUCUAUAGGAAAGGCAGUGAGGUCUGCCCAAUGGCCGUAACGGAAAAAGCUAGGUAUGGCGUAGCAAGUAAUGCCGGUUAAAUGGCCGCGGUAACUCUGACCGUGAUAAUGUAGCGCAAUAACUAGCCAGUUGAUUGCUGGAGUGUAUGAAAGGCUUAACGAGUGCCCGACUGUCUCAAGGUAAGAACCAGUGAAAUUGAAGACAUAGUGAAGAUGCUAUGGCGGACUGUAAGACGAGAAGACCCCGUCGAGCUUUACUACAGACUAAGGAAGUACAUGAUGAGGAUCGGGGUGGAAAUCACACCAGUAGGCAAUACGGUAUAAUCCGGAAGGAAAAUUUUAGUGGGGUAGUUUGGUUGGGGCGACGGCCUUUAAAAAAGUAACAAAGGUGCACAAAGGUAAGGAUGUAAUAGAAAGAGCUACGUGAGUAUGCCCUCGUGCAUAGCAUGGGUUGGCAUACUAGAGAGAAAACCUGACAGUGAGGAGGACCGCCUAGCUGACAUAAGGAAACGAUUGUGGGUUAUAAUGACCAGUUAUUAUGGAGUGGGGCAAGUAACGAUCAACGGAUAAAAGCUACCGCGGGGAUAACAGCGUUAUCUGUUUCAAGAGCCCGUAUCGACGAACAGGUUUCC